rnacentral:rRNA from 1 species
AAGUCGAACGGUGUCUUCGGACACAGUGGCGGACGGGUGAGUAACGCGUGUGAAUCUGCCUCUAGGUUGGGGACAACAGUUGGAAACGACUGCUAAUACCCGAUGUGCCGUAAGGUAAAAGAUUUAUUGCCUGGAGAGGAGCUCGCGUCUGAUUAGCUAGUUGGUGGGGUAAAAGCCCACCAAGGCAGCGAUCAGUAGCUGGUCUGAGAGGAUGAGCAGCCACACUGGGACUGAGACACGGCCCAGACUCCUACGGGAGGCAGCAGUGGGGAAUUUUCCGCAAUGGGCGAAAGCCUGACGGAGCAAUACCGCGUGAGGGAGGAAGGCCUUUGGGUUGUAAACCUCUUUUCUCAGGGAAGAAGAUCUGACGGUACCUGAGGAAUAAGCAUCGGCUAACUCCGUGCCAGCAGCCGCGGUAAUACGGAGGAUGCAAGCGUUAUCCGGAAUCAUUGGGCGUAAAGCGUCCGCAGGUGGUUUUUCAAGUCUGCUGUUAAAGACUGGAGCUCAACUCCGGAAAGGCAGUGGAAACUGGAAGACUAGAGUUCGGUAGGGGUAGCGGGAAUUCCCAGUGUAGCGGUGAAAUGCGUAGAUAUUGGGAAGAACAUCGGUGGCGAAGGCGCGCUACUGGACCGAAACUGACACUCAGGGACGAAAGCUAGGGGAGCGAAAGGGAUUAGAUACCCCUGUAGUCCUAGCUGUAAACGAUGGAAACUAGGUGUGGCUUGUAUCGACCCGAGCCGUGCCGUAGCUAACGCGUUAAGUUUCCCGCCUGGGGAGUACGCACGCAAGUGUGAAACUCAAAGGAAUUGACGGGGGCCCGCA